rnacentral:tRNA from 1 species
CAUGACGUAGCUUAAUUAACAAAGCAUCUGGCCUACACCCAGAAGACUCCACAACUAAUGGACGUCACGA